CAUACAUAAAACACUUCCUGGGAUUGUGAUUUUUCCUAAAUGGCUUGAGUUGAUGGUUGUUUUUCAUUCAACAGCUACAGCUGUGGCUCCAGCUGUCCCUCCUAAAUGUUAUUUGUCUCAGGAAGCCUCUUAUCCAAAGGACUGACCUUUCAAAGGGACUCCUAGUGCUUCGUUAGGCAUAUGCUAAUGAGCUGAGGGUGGAGGCCAGGUGAUAAAUUGCUAGCCUGUAAUAAAUUGUUAGCCAACCUGCUUAUUAGGUAGAAGGCUAGAGAGGGAGGGAGGGAAGAAAGAAAGAGGAAAGCUGUUGAGGAUUUGUGUCUGCAAUGUUAUUAAAAAGAAUGUCAACCUUGUUGUAUGAGGAUGAAGAAAGGAAUUGCUGGGCUGUGUGUUCCCCCUAAGGCUGUGCUAUUACAGCCUCAGGAUAAAUAACAACAGUAGCUGUUGCAAAAACCUUUCUCUUGGGAGAGGUAUUCAUAUUCCUGGGUUAAUGCUGACUCCCAGUGUAGCUUGAGCUUCAGUUUGAGGCUGUGCAGUUGUAUAGCAGUGCGUCUUCUAUUUAAGGAAGGCUCUCCUUGUUGACAUUGCCUCCCAUUCAGGAUCAAAGUAUUACAUAUGAUUGCUGCAUUUGAAUUUUAGUAAAAUCUCUGUAGGCUUAUGUUGUUGUUUCUGGAAGUAUCUUUUAUUCUGGAUGUUCUUAAACCAGUAAAUACAGUUUCUAGCCCAUGGAAGGCCAAUCAUUUCCAUCCUUCUGCCCUUGGAUAGCCAGAGUUCUUAGCUAAAGCCCAGCAGAACUCAGUUCUUGAAAAUUAGCCUCUGCAAAACACUUCUAAUGAGCUGGACUUUCACAAAGCGAGCUGGGUGUAAGUGAGCAGAUUUAAUUUCUAUGCUUUAAAGUAGCAGCUUUCCUGUGUAAUCAGGGGAAACUGACUAAAGUUUUUUUUCCUUGUAUAAAAAAAAAAAAACAAAAAACAUUUCUAAUAGAACUAGGAGGUCUGACAAAAGCUUCUGGCUAGUUGGGGCUAGCAAUGAGUAUGAAAUUAUCUGUUUAUUGGCUGGUACUGGAGUAGGAUUGGUCUCUUGCCGUCACUUUUGGCAACACAAGCUACACAUACAAAAGAGACAGUGCUGGAGACAGACACAGAACUAUGGAUCCCCUGUGGCUGUCUCCACACCUAUGAAAAGAAAAUAAGCAAUAUUAGUAGUGACGCACCAGCUUUAGGAGCUGUUCCAAGAGUUGUCCCCAGAGAACCCAAAGGAAGAUAAGAAUUGAGUAUCUGCUGUGGGAAGCAGAAUUAGAAACACACAAAGUACGUUAAGCCUGGACAGCCAAUUUGCAAGGAUGCUGCGCUCAGAUAAAUUCUACCAGGAACUAAACACAACAGGUGGUGUCUUUGAAUUUCUACACUGGACCUGUGGGCAGAAAGCAGGGUUUCCACAGUCACUGGCUGAGGAAAUUAAUCCAACUCAUGGCUGCAGAAAGAAUUUUGGCUCUGUUUGAGUGCAUAAAGCAAUCAUAAUUGGCAUGUUGCUGAAACUCCUUUCCUGAUGGCCAGAUCUUUCAGUGAGUGAAGUGUUGUCCUGUCAUAAGAGCUUUACUGUGAAACAACAGCCAUACUGGAUGUGCAAGGGUGGUCAAGGGUGAACUCUAGCCCCAGUGGAAGAAAGGAAGUGUGGUUAUUCUAAGGAGCAGAGGAUAAUAGAGAUGAACCUGCUUAGCAGAGAUGUCACAGACCAGAUGGACCAGAUGCCAUGCUGCUCAGGAGAGAAAAACUUGUCUUUAUGGAAACAAGGGUGAGCUGGCACAUAUAUGAGCAGGUCGCAAGCUCAUGGUGAGUAGACUUAUCUCUGAGAGGCUGCCUCAUCUGCUGGGUAUUUUCUUUCACGCUUUUACUUAUAAACAUUUUUAAAUGUAUCAUCUACCCUGAAUAUUUUAAGCAUUUUGAUUUACACUUUCACUUGGCCUGACCUGUGCUAAGAGUGAUUACAAGACAGAUAAAUAACGAAUAGAUUAUGACUAUACAUAUCUGUAAGAAAAACACCAGUAUGGCAGGCAGUAAUGAAACCAGACAGGAGAUGCAGUCCUCAGGUAAAUGGCAAGAUGUCAUUGCCUUUUUUUUUUUUCUCUUUUCUUUUUUCCAUCUUUUCUUUUUUUGUUUUGGAUUAGGUGUUGUAGGUUGGUGUUUGUUUGCUUGUUUUUUGCUUUUUUACUCCUCUUUAAUAUUAGCAAAAUGUUUAUGACUACAUUCACCAUCUUUCAUGUCCAGCAAUAAUAGAAGUACUCUCUAGUCCUAGGCUGAGACUUAGCUAUGGUGUCUGCAACAGGAGGUAGGCCUGUGCUGCAGUUUCAGAAAGGCUGCACUCAAGCUGGUAGCUGUCUAGCUGUGGCACGCUUAUAAUCACUGUAGGAUGUAAAACCCACUUGAGAAAUGUGGUAAAUUAAACCCAUGUUGAGUUCUUUCCUGCUGUUAGGGGAGCAGGAAUACUGCAUUCACUGCUAGCUUGAUAUCAACAUUUGAGCUAAACUGUUUAAAUCUUGUUCAAGUAUUUGUGCAUAAAAAGCAAUGUAGAAGUAUGUAGGAACUCUUACUACCUUGAACAGAUAAGCUAUUUUAUAUUUUUAGUGGAACAAAAGACAAACUGCAGUCUAAAAAAUAUUUAUAUAGGACAUUGCAAUUAUUGUUCAGAAUUAAUGAGUUUUAUCCCCUCCUUUUGGCUUAAAGAACACAAAAUACCAAUGAAAGGAAACAGAUGUAGUUGUUUUAAGCAUUUACAAAGGAAACUGCAGUAAAGCCUGAAACAUCACUGUGUAAAAGCCUUGUAUGUCAUGGAGAUGUUCUGAUAUUGUUUUCAUUUGCCAGCUGUGUGCAAAGAGGGAGUUAUGUCUGUGGCCAAUAGGUCUUCCCACAUCAGAGCAGUAAUAACAACAAAGCAGCGGAAAUAUUAGGAAAGCUCUAACUUUACCUCCAAAUACGCUUGAUUUUCCUAAACAAGAAACAUGCAUUAGGAAUCAGUUCAAAGGAAAAUGGUCAGAAUUUAUAAUGCUCUUCUGAAAAAGACAAUAAUAGGAAGAAAGAGCACUACUAAGGUGAACUAGUCUAAAGUGAGUGUGGCCAACAAAUAAGAUAUUACCUUAUAUCUUACCAGAUUAUAUUACCAGAAUAUUACCUUCUGGCUCGCCUUCUCAGCUAAUGCUUCUCAAUAUUUACACUCCAAGAAAAAUACCAGCACUUUCAGCUGGUCUGAAAAGAUACAGCAUGGUAAACUAGAAAGGAAUUUCUGGGACUGUAGACUGGAUGAUUCAAGUCCAGCUCCUAACUCUGCUUUUACCACUGGUGUUAAGCCUUCUGGCAACACCUAACAUCUCAGCCCCAGUGUAAGGAGACAGUUCUAUGGCAGACCCAUAACAAUAUGGUUUUACCCUGGAAACACCUGUAGCCUGGUGAUAUGAGCUUACUGUCCUUUGGCUUUUCUAACAGUUAAAUGGGGAACUUCUCUCUGACCAGGAUGCCUGUAUGACUCCACUGAGGGUUUCCGAUUGAUGUUCUUUUUCACUUACUGCCUAUUAAGCUGGAAAAACAACUAUGUGAACAUUGCAAUCUGACCAUUUUUCUGUCCCAGUUUUUCAUGCAGUGCUAUACAUUGCGAUGGUAUGUUCUGGCCUUACUACAUAUGGAGUCCAAGCUAUUGAACACACACACACACACACACACACACACACACACACACACACAAAACAAACAAACAAAAAAACCAGAAAAACACAGCAACACAGAACAGCAAAGGGAUCAAAGGUUUAAAAUGUUUUUGUCACUCAAUUGCAUUAUAGAAUGAUACUUCACUCCCAUUUGGAAAUGGGAACAUCCUGGAAAUGGUAAAAUACCUUCUGUGAGCUAAAAAAAAUCAUGCAUAAGGAACGUAAAAUAAUGGCUUAGAUCUGGAAUGGAGAAGUUAAUAGUUCUCUGAAUAUCUUAUCUUUAUCAAUGGUUUGUGCAUGGGUUGCCCCAAAAGUAAUGUCUCCUGUUUAUUUUCAUGGAAACUACAUAGAUACAAAGAGCACAAUAACACUAUUUGGUAGAGCAUCUCAUAGCUACAAAACACUGUUUUUCA